GUAUUAUAUUCCCUUGAAUUCAGGUUAGUCUUGUGCUGCAAUUUUAUCUUUUUUUCUUUAUGGGACUCCUGAUGGGCAAUUUUAAAUGGGUUUUAGGUAAGUUGUUUAAUUAUGGAAAUGUGCAUAUAAGUUUAAGAUUUGAAGUAGCUUUUAACUUUUAUUUUUGGUAUAUGUAUGUGUGAUGCCGUGCCUUUUUGAGUUGUUAAUUUGUUUGCUUUUGAGAAAUGGAUAAGAAGUUUGGUUAAACACGUAAGAAAAGUUGUUUGGCGAAUUUAGCUUUCGUAUUUGUGAAGUUGGACCUCGAACCCUCGGCAAAAAGUGGCAGCGUCCCACCAGGAACGCCCUUUUUAUUUGUGAAGUUGGAAUGCCACUGCUACG
rnacentral:misc_RNA from 1 species